rnacentral:rRNA from 1 species
GUUGACCUCGGAUCAGGUAGGGAUACCCGCUGAACUUAAGCAUAUCAAUAAGCGGAGGAAAAGAAACCAACAGGGAUUGCUCUAGUAACGGCGAGUGAAGCAGCAAUAGCUCAAAUUUGAAAUCUGGCGUCUUCGACGUCCGAGUUGUAAUUUGUAGAG